GCCGAGGUAGCUCAACGGUAGAGCAGCGCAUUCGUAAUGCGCAGGUUGGGGGUUCAAUUCCCCUCCUCGGCUCCA
rnacentral:tRNA from 2 species